UGGGGAAUUUUCCGCAAUGGGCGAAAGCCUGACGGAGCAACGCCGCGUGAGGGAUGAAGGCCUCUGGGCUGUAAACCUCUUUUAUCAAGGAAGAAGAUCUGACGGUACUUGAUGAAUAAGCCACGGCUAAUUCCGUGCCAGCAGCCGCGGUAAUACGGGAGUGGCAAGCGUUAUCCGGAAUUAUUGGGCGUAAAGCGUCCGCAGGCGGCCCUUCAAGUCUGCUGUUAAAAAGUGGAGCUUAACUCCAUCAUGGCAGUGGAAACUGAGGGGCUUGAGUGUGGUAGGGGCAGAGGGAAUUCCCGGUGUAGCGGUGAAAUGCGUAGAUAUCGGGAAGAACACCAGUGGCGAAGGCGCUCUGCUGGGCCAUCACUGACGCUCAUGGACGAAAGCCAGGGGAGCGAAAGGGAUUAGAUACCCCUGUAGUCCUGGCCGUAAACGAUGAACACUAGGUGUCGGGGGAAUCGACCCCUUCGGUGUCGUAGCCAACGCGUUAAGUGUUCCGCCUGGGGAGUACGCACGCAAGUGUG
rnacentral:rRNA from 1 species